GCUGGAUGUGGUGGUGCACGUCUGUAAUCCCAGUUACCUGGGAGGCUGAGGCAGGAGAAUUGCUUGAACCUGGGAGGCGGAGGUUGCAGUGAGCCAAGAUUGCGCCACUGCACCCCAGCCUGGGCAACAGAGGAAGACCCUGUCUCCA
rnacentral:SRP_RNA from 1 species